AGAGUGCUCUAAAAGAGUGGGUUGGCUGGUUGAGAAGCAACUGGAGUGAGUUGACUACUUUGUGAGGAAGUGGAGUCAGUUGGCUGUUUUACUUUGUGAGGAAGAAAGAGUCAGUGCUCUGAAGAGCUGCCCCAAGAAGAGUUCUGUUUCCCAUCUCUCACACACCGAUUGGGAAGGUUAGGUGGUUUUCUGCUCUAUGCAGAAGUAGCAAAAAAUUGAUAGUGCUUCCUGGUUUUGCUUAUCCUAAUGACAAUGUCAUGCUACCUGGUGAAACCAGAGGAACUGGAAAACAGCUGGGCAGUGGUGCCUUUGUGGAGAGCACCCUGGCUCUGAUCCUGCCUUCCUAAGACUUCUAUGUGAAACCAGCAGAGCUUGGCUGCAGUUGUAGUUAUUCACUACAAUUGUAGUGGAUAUUGAAAACUAGGACACUUGUGAAUAUUUUAGUUACUUUUCUGUAGACGUCAGAAGGAAGUUCCAGGUUGCUGCAUGAUAAAUAAUAGAGACUGUGAUUUAUUUACUAUUUAUACUCUCAGCGUUUGUCAGAAGAGCGCAAGUGAAAAGUCCUGUGUCACCAAAAAAUUUUCCUUACCUCAUCACACUUAAGCUGUAGCUGCAGCACAGCUUUUUGCUCAAGAAGGGUUUGCAGAAUUUUAGUCUCGAGUUCACUUAACCUCUGUAGAGCUGUGCAGAGCUGUCACACUUGAAAAUGAAGGAGAGAGGAUAUCAAGCUCCUUUUGUGAAACAGCUUGGAGAGUUGUGUUUUAGUUCUGCUGUAAGGCCUGGAAGUGCCUUCAAGUGCAAUGUGAAUUAAUAUGCCCAGUAUGAGUUAUAGUUGUUGAUUUUUACAUUUUUAAGGACUCUGGUUCUGAUGUGCAGUAAGAAAAAAGGAAUCAUUUAUCUGCUCUUUAAUAAUUAGUGAGAUGAUUGGUGUAGUCUGAUAUUAUAUAGUUGUUCAGUCAGGGAAAUUGUGGUUUUGUCACUGCAUACAGGGAGUGGACUUCUUUUCUGCUGAGAGAAAGCCUCUGUCUUCCUGGAGCUGUGUAAUUUCACUUAAACAAGCUCCUGAAACUCCUAAAUUUUAAAUUUGCUCUGUACCAUCCAUCUGUAAGUGGCCAUAACAGGCAAAUUUGGGUGUGAUUACAGAUUUUCUAGUUUUGAAACUUUGUAUGUUGAUUUACUGCACAUUUAUUCCUGUUGCUGGAACCCUGAAAAGGAUGUCUUUUUCCAACUCAGAAAUACUAAAAAAAGUUAUCUGUUUUGUUUUUUUUUUCCUAAAUAAAUAAGUUAAUUCCAAAUCAGCAUUUCUGUAGAUUGCAGUUGCAUACUUGUAAAGAUAAUAUUUGCUAUUUCCUUCUGGAAUUUAAUAAUAAUUUUACUGUUCAUUAGUAAGAAUGUUUCUUUUCCACUUCUUGAUAUUCCCAUGCUUUUGCAACUACUUUGAGGGAGUAGUCCUUGGCCACAAUGUAGACCAGCAAGUUCUCUUAUCUGCUGGGUUCAAUAUCUCAUUUAUAUUUAUAGAUUUUGUAGUUGUUGAGUGAUGUAAUGUUAUAGGAAUGUGCUUGGAGUGUGCUUUUUUUUAAAUCUGCAAUUAUGUGAAUUUUCCAGUUUCUGUAUUUUGUAACAAAUUUUCUCAUGAGCAACUUUAUUCAUCACUGGGUACUUGGAUUCUAUAAGAAUGAAAACGAAAAUCUUGGUAUAUUUUUGCCCAAGUUUGUAUUGUGCCGUGUAGUCUUCAGAUUAGGCAACUUUCUGAUGGGAAAUAACAGCCACAACAUCAAUCAUGCUUCAUCUGAAUAUCUUGGGACUAGAUCUGAGCUUGUGACAGUUUUUGGUUAUUUUUGCCUCAUGAAAGUUCUUGCUAUAAAGAUAUUUUGCUGCUCUUGACUGAUCUGCAGCCUGUGAUAGAACAGGCAACUUACAUUCACCUGAAUAUCUUUGUCACAUCUUUGCAACACUUGUCAGGUAUACAUUUGUUAUUGUUGUCACAAUUACUACAUGUUGGUGUUUCUUCUGGAUUAAAUGAAGUUGUAUCUUA